rnacentral:rRNA from 1 species
AUACGGAGGGUGCAAGCGUUAAUCGGAAUUACUGGGCGUAAAGCGCGCGUAGGCGGCUUGAUAAGUCGGAUGUGAAAGCCCCAGGCUCAACCUGGGAACUGCAUUCGAUACUGUCAGACUAGAGUAUGGUAGAGGGAAGUGGAAUUCCAGGUGUAGCGGUGAAAUGCGUAGAUAUCUGGAGGAACAUCAGUGGCGAAGGCGACUUCCUGGACCAAUACUGACGCUGAGGUGCGAAAGCGUGGGGAGCAAGCAGGAUUAGAAACCCCAGUAGUCC